rnacentral:rRNA from 1 species
GAUGAACGCUGGCGGCGUGCCUAAUACAUGCAAGUCGAGCGAAUGACGAGGAGCUUGCUCCUCUGAUUUAGCGGCGGACGGGUGAGUAACACGUGGGUAACCUGCCUGUAAGACGGGGAUAACUCCGGGAAACCGGAGCUAAUACCGGAUGAUAACGAGAAGCGCCUGCUUCUUUUUUGAAAGUCGGUUUCGGCUGACGCUUACAGAUGGGCCCGCGGCGCAUUAGCUAGUUGGUGAGGUAACGGCUCACCCAGGCGACGAUGCGUAGCCGACCGGGGAGGGUGAUAGGCCACGCUGGGACGGAGACACGGCCCAGACUCCUACGGGAGGCAGCAGUAGGGAAUCGUCGGCAAGGGACGAAAGUCUGACCGAGCAACGCCGCGUGAGCGAUGAAGGCCUUCGGGUCGUAAAGCCCUGUUGUCAGAGAAGAACAAGUACCGGAGUAACUGCCGGUACCUUGACGGUACCUGACCAGAAAGCCACGGCUAACUACGUGCCAGCAGCCGCGGUAAAAC